GCGGACGGGUGAGUAAUGCCUAGGAAUCUGCCUGGUAGUGGGGGAUAACGUCCGGAAACGGACGCUAAUACCGCAUACGUCCUACGGGAGAAAGCAGGGGACCUCCGGGCCUUGCGCUAUCAGAUGAGCCUAGGUCGGAUUAGCUAGUUGGUGGGGUAAUGGCUCACCAAGGCGACGAUCCGUAACUGGUCUGAGAGGAUGAUCAGUCACACUGGAACUGAGACACGGUCCACACUCCUACGGGAGGCAGCAGUGGGGAAUAUUGGACAAUGGGCGAAAGCCUGAUCCAGCCAUGCCGCGUGUGUGAAGAAGGUCUUCGGAUUGUAAAGCACUUUAAGUUGGGAGGAAGGGCAGUAAAUUAAUACUUUGCUGUUUUGACGUUACCGACAGAAUAAGCACCGGCUAACUCUGUGCCAGCAGCCGCGGUAAUACAGAGGGUGCAAGCGUUAAUCGGAAUUACUGGGGCGUAAAGCGCGCGUAGGUGGUUCGUUGAGUUGAGAUGUGAAAAUCCCCGGGGCUCAACCUGGGAAGCUGCAUUCAAAACUGGACAAGUCUAAAAUAUGGGUAGAGGGUGGGU
rnacentral:rRNA from 1 species